rnacentral:rRNA from 1 species
AGACACUAAAGUGGAUCAUGUCAAUGACCCUAAAUAAAGGAUUGAACAAGAUGGAACCCACCCUGAUGUCUUUGGUUGGGGCGACCGCGGGGAAAUAAAUAACCCCCAUGUGGAAUGGGAGCACCCCUCCUACAGCUGAGAGUUACAACUCUAAUAAACAGAAUUUCUGACCAAAAAGAUCCGGCAAUGCCGAUCAACGGACCUAGUUACCCUAGGGAUAACAGCGCAAUCCUCUUUUAGAGCCCAUAUCGACAAGGGGGUUUACGACCUCGAUGUUGGAUCAGGACAUCCUAAUGGUGCAGCCGCUAUUAAG